rnacentral:rRNA from 1 species
UGGGGAAUCUUAGACAAUGGGGGAAACCCUGAUCUAGCCAUGCCGCGUGAGCGAUGAAGGCCUUAGGGUUGUAAAGCUCUUUCAGCUGGGAAGAUAGUGACGGUACCAGCAGAAGAAGCCCCGGCUAACUCCGUGCCAGCAGCCGCGGUAAUACGGAGGGGGCUAGCGUUGUUCGGAAUUACUGGGCGUAAAGCGCACGUAGGCGGAUUAGUCAGUCAGAGGUGAAAUCCCAGGGCUCAACCCUGGAACUGCCUUUGAUACUGCUAGUCUUGAGGUCGAGAGAGGUGAGUGGAAUUUCCCGAGUGUAGAGGUGAAAUUCGUAGAUAUUCGGAGGAACACCAGUGGCGAAGGCGGCUCACUGGCUCGAUACUGACGCUGAGGUGCGAAAGCGUGGGGAGCAAAACAGGAUUUAGAUACCCUGGGUAGUCCCACGCCGUAAACGAUGAUGCCAGUCGU